ensembl:lncRNA
CGGCUCAAGAUCUCCAACUCCAAAGUGACCAAAGCUGUGCUCUGCCCUGCAGCUCCUCAGCAUUACACCUCCGUUCUGCUCCAGGGGCCUGGGGGGGGAAAAAUCAUUUGAAACUAAGAAGACGUGCUGUUUGCUUUGGGUAAUUACAAGCGAGCUUUGGAUUCUUCAAGCAAUGAAAAGUGUGCAAUGGGAGUGGGUUCUAUCCGGGUGUGGUGGUGAUGGGUUGGUGAUUGGACUGGAUGAUCUUAGUGGCCUUUCCAACCUUCACGAUCUCCAGCACCGCUCCCUCCAUCCCACGCCCGCCCCGUGCACCUGGGCACGUGGUUGCAUUUCCUAUAGAGGAACUUCAUGGCGCUUUGGGCUCAGUGAGAGGAGAAUGCUGCUGACAUUUUCUUAUCUCAAGUUACAAUUUCCUGUGAGCAUCACAGUGAUAAAACAUGGGAGAUGUGCAGCUCGCGUGGAGAGAGUGCAUCGUGCACGGCACCGGGGGGCAGAGGAUGCCCGCGGGAUGCGGCUCUCGGUGCCGUCAUUGUUGUCCCCCCGCCUGUCUGCAGGGAAUUUUAUGGGGAGGGCUUUUGGCGGGGCGAGGAGGAGGAGGAGGAGGGGAGCUUUCCCCCAAAGCACCCAGGAAUCUGUCAAAAGAGGGACAGAAAAGAGAAGAAGAAGAAGAAGGGAGACAGAGAGUGGGAACGUCAAGGACCCCUGACUAAUGAAUAGCAAGUUUGCCCUUGAACCUCCCUGGGCUUUGCCAUUCCCAGGCUCCAAACAAGGGCUGAUGCAUGCUUGGGCCCAGCUGCAGGGGGACCGGGCUAUGGUUCAUCUCAGACACUUUGACAGCCCGGGCCUUUUCCCCGCAUAGCUCAGACUCGCCUAACUACUCCCCUGGCAACAGCUCAGUGCAGGAACCUGCGCGGAGGCCCUGCCUGCUGCAUACAGAAGCAUGAAAGACGCGGGGAGCGCCAGCCGUAGGGGUCUGCACUGAAUGGAUGGAGCAAACAGGCACUGCAGACGGCUGCAAACACCCGACGGCUCCAAAGCACGACCCAGGAACGUUCCCACAUCCCGGCCCCUUAUAAAUCAAGGGGGAGAGGGGGAGGGCUCCUUGCCGGCCUCUGUUUUUACAGAGCAUCUUUCAUGUGCAGCCCCUGAGAGAGAGGGCUUUGCUGAGCUUGUUAAGGAGGGCUCCUGCACCAGGCAGAGAGGGGGACGCACCAUAUGGAGAGGAGAAAAAGAAAAGGGGACACUGAAAAUGGAAAAUUAUGCAAAUCAGGAGGAGAGAGGCUCCAGUGAAAGGGGGGAGGGAGGCAGAGGGGGAUGGGAGGGAGCCCUGACUUGGGGACACCAACAGGAGGGACGGCAGUUUCCCACGAUCGGUGUCCGGGCGUGGGACGGCCCUCGAUGGCACCUGGGUGAUGUCACGGUGUCCUCACCAGGGCAUGGCCAUGGGGUACCCCACUGCAGGGUACGUCUCCGGCCCAGCCAUGCUCGCACCAUUGGGGAUGCCCAGUGCUGGCUGUGAGCAGCAGCAAACAGGGGUCUGCGGUGACCUACUUCAUGGAGGUGUCCUCAGGACCUCUGUUACUAUGGCAAUGAGGUGGCAAGAGUAAAAAAAAAUAAUAUAUAUAUAUAUAUUUUUUGUCAAAUCUUUUGGUUUUUAUGCGUCACUGAAAGUAGACUCAUGCACCGAGGUGCUGAGGGCUUUGUACCAAAUGGCU